ensembl:lncRNA TRHDE-AS1 TRHDE antisense RNA 1
AGAUUAUCAGCUACCCUUCAGAAAAAGAGCCCUGCGUUUCGAUGGCUAAGGAACUCUGACAGGAAGAGGAGAGGUCCCGACUAGAGGAGGGGGCAGCAUUCAUCUUUUGGCACCGGUGAGUCAGUUUGCGAAGUUGGCGGCAGCGAGACCCCGAGGCAUCUGGGAGACCCCGGAGUUCUGACUGCCCUACUCCGCUUUCGUUUCCUUCCCCCCACCCCUGGCUUCCCGGGUAUUGGAAGCCAGCUGGGUCCCCGGGGUCGCAGGCCGCCCAGAGGUUCGAGCCGCGCGCCGGGGUGGGGCAGCGCGGGGCACCGCCUCCCUCCAUACCUUCUCUCCCCGUGGAGCACAUAGGAGCUGCGGAAGAAGCCCAGGAGCUCAUUCUCGAUGAGCGCGUUGUAGAUAAUCUUCAGAUUGUAAUUCCUCUGCGCGUCCAGUGUCCUAUUCAGCACCACCACUAAGACCUGGGUUUGCGGGUAGAGGAAAAAACCGGCUACAGGGACAGCCCCGAACGCCCGGUCCUCGGCCAGCUGCACUUUCUCCACCGCCACUCGGGAAGCGUGCAGCACUACGUAGCGGGUGGCGUUCCGGCACGCGAUCUCCACGUUGACCUCCCCGGAGAAGGUGAAGUUCUCCAUGAAGGCGGUGAGCAUCAGAUUGUAGUGCAGCGGCUUCAGGUGGCCCGACAGGCGCAGCUGCGUCCACGGCUCCCACGGCUCCCGCUCCUCCUCCGACGGCGGCUGGGCCGACGUGGUCCCCGGACUGGCCACCCCACCCGCCUCGGGCUGCCAGGAGUCCCCGCCUGCGUGGUGGUUGCGCCGGGCCGAUCCAGGGAGGCUCCCGUUGCCGCCGCGCUCCGGAAAGCCUGAGGGGCCACCGUCGGCGCCUGGCGUGGCACUCGCCCCGCACUCGUCGAAGCGCAGGCUGAGCAGCACAGCGAGCAUUGUGACCGCGAGCAAUGCCACGAGGGACACAGCGAAGGCCAGCACAAGCCGCUUGUGUACGGCGAUGUGGCGCUCCGUGGUGCGGGGUCGCACUCCCACUGAGUCUGCCCACGGGUCGGAGAGCCCCCUGCUGCCAGCCCGAAGCGCGGCGUCGUCUUCCCCCAUCGCGGCUGCGAAGGCGGCGGCGUUCGGUCCUCUGGGUGGAAUGUGCUCGCAGCAGCAGUGACGGCGGCCACAGCACGGGAGGCACCCGAGCCAUACACCCUGCAGCUGGAGAGAAAAGGAUGGCCGAGGUGGGAGAGACUAGAGUGAACCAGCAGGAGGAAGUCCCAGGGCCGCGAAGCUACGACGGAGAUCCGUCCUGGAAAAGCCUUCUCCACCCUGGGCACUUUAAGCGGCGGUGGCGGCAAACGGCAGGAGGUUGCAGACCCGACAGCGAGACUCCCUCAUUCCAGUCUUGCUCUGCCCUCCGGAGAUGACAAGUGAGAAAGAAGUGUCCGGCCGGGCCAUCCCCUUCAGGUAGAUGAAGCUCUGGGUUUGCUCCAUAUCCCAAGGGGGAGAGCCGAAGUGCGUAUGUCCGAGCGCGUGUGCAUGUGUGUGCGCGUGUGUGCGUGUGUGUAUAUACACAGGCUUCGGGUUUAGAUUGCCAGGGCUACUCCAGCUGCAUUGAGGGACUGAAACUCCCAGAGAAAGGCAAAGGAGAGGGAGCGCGCGAGGAGGCAGGAAAGGCGGGAGGGAGGGGAGCGACUGAGCGGCAGAGGCAGGCACUGGGAGAUUAGAGAGCUUUUCUCCGCUCUGUCACACCAGACACCCACAGCCACAGAGGGGGUUGCUGAGCCGCCUGCAAGAAGUACAUUGUAAAUCUUCAGCGCAACAAGCCCCGCAGUCACCCCUCUUCCUGACUCCUUAGCCCCACCGCGCUCCAGGGAGAGAUCCUUGGAGCCUUUGGCUAUUAACAUAGAGAGCAAAAGAAGAUCCUGCUAGGGAGAUGUGGCUGUGUCAGAUUUCACAUCAAGCUCGCCAGAGGAUUUGGAGGAUUGUAUGUAAAUUGAAAUAAAUUCUCCAAAACCUGACUACAUAUAUUACAUUAUACUGUGCGAUGUGUCCAGGUGUGCAGUACUAAAAUAAUGUUAGCAAUGAAGCAUUAAAAUCCUCCGGAAGUAAAGGCCAAAGCAAGGUGAUGUUUUCCCCAUAGGAUAAUUCCCAUCUUUAGAUUGGAGAAACGAUUAACACACAAUGUCUACAGUGUAACAUUCAGGACCAAAACCCUGAGACUGAGAAAAGCUGGGCUUAUUAGAACGGUGAACGAAUACAUUCCAUGAUUGGUCAGUUUUUCAUUUCACCUAGCCAUAAUUACUUUCUUGCAGCUUUCCAGUGUUACCAUGAACAUUGUUUUAACUUUGUUAGGAUAGUUAUCAAUAGACCAGUUUGCUGACAGCAGGCAGCAUCAAAAUAGGUUCAUAGCCCAUUGGCUGGUUAUGGACUCUUGUCUGAGUAUAUUGGAGUUUAAAAUUAUACUGCAGAGUAUGUAUAAGUAUGUGGGAUAUCCAACCUUCAGAAUUUGUGCGAAGAACUCUAAUUGGAACAAUAUUCAGAAAACAGCCACCCCAAAGGUGACAUCUAGGAAGCAGGAGUCUCCAGUGUUUAGUAAAACAAAGUGUGAUUGGCUUCUGGGUUAAUUAAAAAAGUGAAUAAUAGAAAAUUAGGUAAUUCCUUUUUACAUGUUUCUUUCAUGUCUUCAAAUCUUGAAGGCAUUUUACAAAUCAUGUCCAUAGCUAUUUUCUUACAAAAAGAACUGGUUAAUGCUUCUGGCUUUGGAGUACUGAAAAUAGACAAUUAAAAUAUUGUGUUUGGCUUUAAAAGCAUGACCAAAGAGAAGAGACCAAUUACACAUUAACCUUAGCUUGAUAACCACUAAAAACACAGCCCUGCUCGAGGAAGCCCUUUUUCAUUUAUCCCCAGAUGGGAUACAUGCUCAAUGCCAUGCAUUCUAAAUGUCCAUUUGAAUCAUUUUUAAAUGAUGAUGAAAAUAAGUGCCAGGGUGGGAUUUUUUAAGCAUGUUGUAUGUGGGCCGUUAGCAACAGACCAAGGGAAAUGCCACAUUCUGUUCAAGUUACUUUUUUCUGCUCUGUUUUUAAAUGUCUGUACUCUUGCUGUCCAUAUGUAUCUGGCUGUAUGCAUUUUAAGAGUUGAGGAGUUGGGGUUCAUUGGUUUGUUUUCACAGAAUCAGGAACUAUAGUGCAAGCAAGUAAGAGGAGCCCUGCGAUCCUCAGCAGGUCACCAGACUUCUCUGACUUUAGGGUUUUAAACUGGUAAUUUAGUAUUACUGAUCCAAUAUCCAUGGAUUGAGUACAUUUGAUUAUCAGAGGCUUCUGGAAUCAUCCCGGGGAGUCUAAGACCCACUGCCUAAAGGAAGAGGUUACCCACUAAGGGAUCUUUAAGACUUUCUCUUUCUAAAACAUUAGUCAAGAAAAGAUUCAAAGAAGGCUUUUUCUGUUUGUCUUUUUUUAAAAAUGUGUACAAAUUUGUGGGAUACAUGAGAAAUUUUGUUACAUGCACAUAAUAUGUAGUGAUCAAAAUCAGGGUAUUUAAGGUGUCCAUCACCUGAGUACAAUACAUUUUUGCAAGGUAUAGUCACCCUACUGUGCUCUCAAACAGUGAACAGCCAGAUUCCUUCUGUCUUGCUGUGUGUUUGUACCCUUUAACCCAGUUCUCUUCAUCUUUCCCCUUUCCCUCACUCACGGUUCUCAGUCUGUUAUCUCUUUCCUCUCUUUACCUCCAUCUGUUCUUCUUUGUAUUUCACUAAUGUGUUUAUGUACUUCUGAAAAUUACUACAAGGAAAGUCUCAAAUAUUUCAGAAUUAAAUAAUACAUUUACCAAUUAAUAAAGUCU